GACAUAAAUCCUGUUUCCCUCCAUUACCCCUUCGAAACGAAGCGACAAGGUAAAACAGUAAGCUGUCCAGAUUUCACAUUUUGGAUAGUUUUGGCGAGUUUGACAAGUUUAACGUAAGGUUCGGAAGACGACGAGACGAGCAGGAUAAACGGUAACUCCUAAAAGGUACAAAUACAGAUUUUGGGAGUCCGUCAGCUUAGGAUUCCAUGCAGCUCAGCUGAAAGAGGCUUCAUUGUAUCAGAGCCUAGUUUUUGAUACUGUCCAUGGAUGUAUAGAAAUUGUUUUAUCCAUUCAGGGGUACGGCGGGGGCCCUGUCCCGCCAUAUGUUGUCAUUUAUAUGUUUAGAGGUCUGCAGACAUGUAUAUGUGGGUUGUGUAUGUCAGUUUGAUUAAGCUGGGUCUACAUGAUAUAUGAUAUAUAUUAUUAUGUUA